rnacentral:misc_RNA from 1 species
CGCACAUUGCGCCCCUUGGUAUUCCGAGGGGCAUGCCUGUUCGAGCGUCAUUACAACCCUCAAGCAUUGCUUGGUAUUAGGCUCCGCUGGUUCACCCAGCGGGCCUUAAAAUCAGUGGCAGUGCCAUCGAGGCCCUGAGCGUAGUAAAUAUCCUCGCUAUAGGGACCCGGUGGACGCUGGCCAUCAACCCCCAACUUUCUAAGUUUGACCUCGGAUCAGGUAGGGAUACCCGCUGAACUUAA